CAGGCCUAACACAUGCAAGUCGAGCGGUAGAGAGAAGCUUGCUUCUCUUGAGAGCGGCGGACGGGUGAGUAAUGCCUAGGAAUCUGUCUGGUAGUGGGGGAUAACGUUCGGAAACGGACGCUAAUACCGCAUACGCUCUACGGGAGAAAGCAGGGGACCUUCGGGCCUUGCGCUAUCAGAUGAGCCUAGGUCGGAUUAGCUAGUUGGUGAGGUAAUGGCUCACCAAGGCGACGAUCCGUAACUGGUCUGAGAGGAUGAUCAGUCACACUGGAACUGAGACACGGUCCAGACUCUACGGGAGGCAGCAGUGGGGAAUAUUGGACAAUGGGCGAAAGCCUGAUCCAGCCAUGCCGCGUGUGUGAAGAAGGUCUUCGGAUUGUAAAGCACUUUAAGUUGGGAGGAAGGGCAGUUACCUAAUACGUGAUUGUUUUGACGUUACCGACAGAAUAAGCACCGGCUAACUCUGUGCCAGCAGCCGCGGUAAU
rnacentral:rRNA from 1 species